ACUAAGACAAGAUUUGCAUACAGAACUAAUCCAACUUACCGCUGAGCUUAACAAAUCCAUAAAUGACUUGGGCAAUCGAACGGACAAACUUGAAUGUAAGAUGGAUGAUAUUGACUCACAUAAAUGCUAAUCACAGCAAAAUGGUUGAAGAACUGGGGGCUCUCUAAGCUGACAGACAUUGAAGAUCGCUCUUGUCAGAACACUAUUAAGAUAAGAGGAAUACCAG